rnacentral:tRNA from 1 species
CCGAGUGGAGCGCGGCACAGCCUGCUAGCGCCUUCGUCUGGGGCCGAAUGUCGCUGGUUCAAACCCAGUCGCCCGGA